CCAAAACAACCUCUUCAAAUCAUGAUACAUCUUCGUUGCUCCUGGAUGAAUACUCAAACUACUUCUAUGACCUUCAUCCAAAAUUUGCCUCUUAAGCUCAAGAACAUCUGGCACACAAACUCGAUCACGAAACAUCAAAACAUUAUUCUCAUCCAAUCUAAAGUCUCCACCUUUACCUUGAUUAACCAACGUCACUCGGUCCAUGAGUUCCAAAUCUUCCUUCUGACCAUUCUUGAUUUCUUCCAAAAUAUUGCUUGUCAACUUCAACAUACCCAACCUCACACCAUC
rnacentral:lncRNA from 1 species